rnacentral:rRNA from 1 species
UGGUGGAGUGAUUUGUCUGGUUAAUUCCGUUAACGAACGAGACCUCGACCUGCUAACUAGUUUGACAAAGAUUCGUCUUUGCAUACAGACUUCUUAGAGGGACUAUCGGUGUGUAGCCGACGGAAGUUCGAGGCAAUAACA